UACGUAGGGUGCAAGCGUUAAUCGGAAUUACUGGGCGUAAAGAGUGCGUAGGCGGUUUUCUAAGUUUGGUGUGAAAUCUCCCGGCUUAACUGGGAGGGUGCGCCGAAGACUGGAAGGCUUGAGUAUGGGAGAGGUAAGCGGAAUUCCUGGUGUAGCGGUGAAAUGCGUAGAUAUCAGGAGGAACACCUGCGGUGUAGACGGCUUACUGGACCAUCACUGACGCUGAGGCACGAAAGCGUGGGUAGCAAACAGG
rnacentral:rRNA from 1 species